rnacentral:rRNA from 1 species
GACGAACGCUGGCGGCGUGCUUAACACAUGCAAGUCGAACGGAAAGGCCCUGCUUUUGUUGUUUGCUCGAGUGGCGAACGGGUGAGUAACACGUGAGUAACCUGCCCUUGACUUUGUGAUAACUUCAGGAAACUGGGGCUAAUACCGGAUAGGAGCUCCUGCUGCACGGUGUUGGUUGGAAAGUUUCGGCGGUUGGGGAUGGACUCGCGGCUUAUCAGCUUGUUGGUGGGGUAGUGGCUUACCAAGGCUUUGACGGCUAGCCGGCCUGAGAGGGGGACCGGCGACAUUGGGACUGAGAGACGGACCAGACUGCUACGGGCGGCAGAAGUGGGGAAUAUUGCAGAAUGGGCGGAAGCCUGAUGCAGAAACGCCGCGUGCGGGAUGACGGCCUUCGGGUUGUAAACCGAUUUCGACUGUGACGAAGAGUGAGUGACGGUAAUGGGUAAAGAAGCACCGGCUAACUACGUG